AUGGAUUGUUGUGCAGAUGUCUUAACAGCAGAAGCAUUGGCUCUAAGAUUUGGGUUAUCACUUGCACAGAGGGCGGGAUGUAAUCGUCUUGUUGUUAACUCCGACAAUAUGGAAGUAGUUGACACAAUGAAGAAUGGAGGACAUUCAGCUGGAGUGGCGGCGACAGUUUUUGAUGAUUGUUAUUUUAUGGCGUGCGAUUUUCUGCGUGUUAGUUUUGAGCAUUGUAAUAGGGAAGCUAAUAAAGUUGCUCACGAACUUGCUUGAUUAGCUAAAUUUUCUAUGACUAGAGAUUGUUUUGAGGAACCUAUGAAUGAGAUUGUAACUUUUCUCCUUCACAAAACUGGCUUGUAUUGA
rnacentral:rRNA from 1 species